UGGGGAAUUUUGGACAAUGGGGGAAACCCUGAUCCAGCCAUCCCGCGUGUGCGAUGAAGGCCUUCGGGUUGUAAAGCACUUUUGGCAGGAAAGAAACGUCAUGGGUUAAUACCCCGUGAAACUGACGGUACCUGCAGAAUAAGCACCGGCUAACUACGUGCCAGCAGCCGCGGUAAUACGUAGGGUGCAAGCGUUAACCGGAAUUACUGGGCGUAAAGCGUGCGCAGGCGGUUCGGAAAGAAAGAUGUGAAAUCCCAGAGAUCAACUGUGGAACUGCAUUUUUAACUACCGGGCUAGAGUGUGUCAGAGGGAGGUGGAAUUCCGCGUAUAGCAGUGAAAUGCGUAGAUAUGCGGAGGAACACCGAUGGCGAAGGCAGCCUCCUGGGAUAACACAGACGCUCAUGCACGAAAGCGUGGGGAGCAAACAGG
rnacentral:rRNA from 1 species